rnacentral:rRNA from 2 species
UAAAUAGCCCGUAUUGCUUUGGCAGUACGCUGGCUUCUUAGAGGGACUAUCCGCUCAAGCGGAUGGAAGUUUGAGGCAAUAACAGGUCUGUGAUGCCCUUAGAUGUUCUGGGCCGCACGCGCGUUACACUGACGGAGCCAGCGAGUACUUCCUUGACAGAGAUGU